CCUACGGGAGGCAGCAGUGAGGAAUAUUGGUCAAUGGACGAGAGUCUGAACCAGCCAAGUAGCGUGAAGGAUGACUGCCCUAUGGGUUGUAAACUUCUUUUAUAAAGGAAUAAAACGAGGCACGUGUGCCUUUUUGCAUGUACUUUAUGAAUAAGGAUCGGCUAACUCCGUGCCAGCAGCCGCGGUAAUACGGAGGAUCCGAGCGUUAUCCGGAUUUAUUGGGUUUAAAGGGAGCGUAGAUGGGUUGUUAAGUCAGUUGUGAAAGUUUGCGGCUCAACCGUAAAAUUGCAAUUGAUACUGGCAGUCGUGAGUACAGUUGAGGUAGGCGGAAUUCGUGGUGGAGCGGUGAAAUGCUUAGAUAUCACGAAGAACCCCGAUUGCGAAGACAGCUUACUAAACUGUGACUGACAUUGAUGCUCGAAAGUGUGGGUAUCAAACAGGAUUAGAUACCCCUGUAGUC
rnacentral:rRNA from 1 species